rnacentral:rRNA from 1 species
UACGUAGGGUGCAAGCGUUGUCCGGAAUUAUUGGGCGUAAAGAGCUCGUAGGCGGUUUGUCGCGUCGGCUGUGAAAACUCGGGGCUCAACCCCGAGCCUGCAGUCGAUACGGGCAGACUAGAGUGCGGUAGGGGAGACUGGAAUUCCUGGUGUAGCGGUGAAAUGCGCAGAUAUCAGGAAGAACACCAAUGGCGAAGGCAGCUCUCUGGGACGGUACUGACGCUGAGACGCGAAAGCGUGGGGAGCGAACAGG